GGCUGGAUCGACCGCUGGUGUAGCGAUGUCUUCUUGGUGUGGCGGAUAUCAAACCACAACGCCGCUGCCUUCCUACACAACUUACGCAACGACCAGUUUCUGCAUCGAGGUCUUCAAGUACUACACCACUAAAGCUUCGGAGUUUUAUACCACAACUUACGCUGCCCCGAGACACUACACUGACGCCCUGAAGUAUUACUCUGCCCCGAGCUACUACACCACCAAGGCGAGGGAGUACUACAUGACUACGUAUACUGCCCAUCCUACUACAUGAGGCUCCUAACUGAUACACCGAGGUUUAAUCAGCGGGAGCGCUGAUUACUCCAUCAAAACGGUCGAGUACUACACCGAAGCGGCAAAGUACUUCUCUGCCCUGAUACUACUCUCAACACCUAAACCAGAACUGAGGCGGCCAAGUAUUACGUAGUCCCGACUUGCCACACAAAAGCUGCUCUUUGGUGCUACGUUGAACUGAAACACUACACUGAUGCUCCAGUCUACUACACCACGACCUACGCUACACCUAGCUUCAACACCGCAGCCCCCAAGUACUACACCGAAGAAGCCGCCUAUUACACAACUACGUACGCUGCCUAGUUUACUACAUCGAGGAAUUUAAGUAUUACCCUGCUCCAAACUACUACCAAACUGAGGUUCAUAUUUAUUGCAAUUCUCCCGAUUAUGUCACCACUACUCACGCUGCUCCGACCUUUACACCGAAGUUCUGAAGUAUUUCUCUGGAUGUGUUGAAAGAUUGCUGAAAUACAAGAUUGAUUGAUAAAUAACAA